AUCAACUUUCGAUGGUAGGAUAGAGGCCUACCAUGGUGGUGACGGGUGACGGAGAAUUAGGGUUCGAUUCCGGAGAGGGAGCCUGAGAAACGGCUACCACAUCCAAGGAUGGCAGCAGGCGCGCAAAUUACCCAAUCCCGACACGGGGAGGUAGUGACAAUAAAUAACAAUACGGGGUUCUUUAGGAUCUCGUAAUUGGAAUGAGUACAAUUUAAAUCUCUUAACGAGGAACAAUUGGAGGGCAAGUCUGGUGCCAGCAGCCGCGGUAAUUCCAGCUCCAAUAGCGUAUAUUAAAGUUGUUGCAGUUAAAAAGCUCGUAGUUGAAUUUCGGGGUUAGUAGGUUGGUCAUGCCUCCGGUAUGUACUGAUCUCACUGAUUCCUCCUUCCUUAUGAACCGUAAUGCCAUUAAUUUGGUGUUGCGGGGAAUUUGGACUGUUACUUUGAAAAAAUUAGAGUGUUUAAAGCAAGCUAACGCUUGAAUACAUUAGCAUGGAAUAAUGAAAUAGGACGUUCGAUCCUAUUUUGUUGGUUUCUAGGAUUGACGUAAUGAUUAAUAGGGAUAGUUGGGGGCAUUAGUAUUCAAUUGUCAGAGGUGAAAUUCUUCGGAUUUAUUGAAGACUAACUACUGCGAAAGCAUUUGCCAAGGAUGUUUUCAUUCAAUCAAGAACGAAAGUUAGGGGAUCGAAGACGAUCAGAUACCGUCGUAGUCUUAACCAUAAACUAUGCCGACUAGGGAUCGGAUGAUGUUAAUUUUUUAAUGACUCAUUCGGCGCCUUACGGGAAACCAAAGUGUUUGGGUUC
rnacentral:rRNA from 1 species